rnacentral:rRNA from 2 species
CAGGGAUUGCCCUAGUAACGGCGAGUGAAGCGGCAACAGCUCAAAUUUGAAAUCUGGCCCUUGGGUCCGAAUUGUAAUUUGUAGAGGAUGUUUUUGGUGCGGUAUCUUCCGAGUUCCUUGGAACAGGACGCCUUAGAGGGUGAGAGCCCCGUACGGUUGAAUGCCUAGCCUUUGUAAAACUCCUUCGACGAGUCGAGUAGUUUGGGAAUGCUGCUCUAAAUGGGAGGUAAAUUUCUUCUAAAGCUAAAUACUGGCCAGAGACCGAUAGCGCACAAGUAGAGUGAUCGAAAGAUGAAAAGCACUUUGAAAAGAGGGUUAAAUAGCACGUGAAAUUGUUGAAAGGGAAGGAUUUAUGACCAGACUUUUUCUAAGCGGAUCAUCCGGUGUUCUCACCGGUGCACUUCGUUUAGUUUAGGCCAGCAUCGAUUUUCGGUGGGGGAUAAAAGCUUUAGGAAUGUGGCUCCUCCGGGAGUGUUAUAGCCUAUUGUAUAAUACCCUACUGGGGAUCGAGGUACGCGCUUCUGCAAGGAUGCUGGCGUAAUGGUUAUCAAUCACCCGUCUUGAAACACGGACCAAGGAGUCGAACAUUUGUGCAAGUGUUUGGGUGUUAAACCCUCACGCGUAAUGAAAGUGAACGGAGGUGAGAGCCCUUACGGGUGCAUCAUCGACCGAUCCUGAUGUUUUCGGAUGGAUUUGAGUAAGAGCAUAACUGUUCGGACCCGAAAGAUGGUGAACUAUGCGUGGAUAGGGUGAAGCCAGAGGAAACUCUGGUGGAGGCUCGCAGCGGUUCUGACGUGCAAAUCGAUCGUCAAAUCUGCGCAUGGGG